rnacentral:rRNA from 1 species
AACGAACGCUGGCGGCAUGCCUAACACAUGCAAGUCGAACGAGACCUUCGGGUCUUGUGGCGCACGGGUUCGUAACGCGUGGGAACCUGCCCUUAGGUUCGGAAUAACUCCCCGAAAGGGGUGCUAAUACCGGAUCAUGUCUUCGGACCAAAGAUUUAUCGCCUUUGGAUGUGCCCGCGUUGGAUUAGCUAGUUGGUAGGGUAAAAGCCUACCAAGGCGACGAUCCAUAGCUGGUAUGAGAGGCAGAUCAGCGACACUGGGACUGAGACACGGCCCAGAAUCCUACGGGAGGGAGCAGAGGGGAAUAUUGGAAAAUGGGCGAAAGGCUGAUCCAGCAAGGCCGCGUGAGUGAUGAAGGCCUGAGGGUUGUAAAGCUCUUUUACCCGGGAUGAUAAUGACAGUACCGGGAGAAUAAGCUCCGGCUAACUCCGUG